rnacentral:rRNA from 1 species
GACGAACGCUGGCGGCGUGCUUAACACAUGCAAGUCGAACGGAAAGGCCCUGGUUUUGUGGGGUGCUCGAGUGGCGAACGGAUGAGUAACACGUGAGUAACCUGCCCUUGACUAUGGGAUAACUUUAGGAAACUGGGGCUAAUACCGGAUAGGAGCUCCUGCUGCUUGGUGGGGGUUGUAGAGUUUCGGCGGUUGGGGAUGGUCUCGUGGCAUAUCGACUUGUGGGUGGGGUAGUGGCUUACAAAGGCUUUAACGGGUCGCCGGCCUGAGGGGGUGACCGGCCAAAUGGGGCUGGGGAUACGGCCCGGACUCCAACGGGAGGCAGGAGUGGGGAAUAUUGCACAAUGGGCGGAGGCCGAAUGCAGCAACGCCGCGUGCGGGAUGACGGCCUUGGGUUUGUAAACCGCUUUCGCCUGUGACGAAGCGUGAGUGACGGUAACGGGUAAAGAAGCACCGGCUAACUACGUG